rnacentral:rRNA from 1 species
AGAGUUGAGUCCUGGCUCAGGAUGAACGCUAGCUACAGGCUUAACACAUGCAAGUCGAGGGCAGCAUGUGGUUGCUUGCAACCAAUGAUGGCGACCGGCGCACGGGUGAGUAACGCGUAUCCAACCUUCCCUAUAGUAGAGGAUAGCCCGGCGAAAGUCGGAUUAAUACUCUAUGUUUUCCAAUGCAGACAUCUAAAAUGGAACAAAGGUUCACCGCUAUAGGAUGGGGGAUGCGUCUGAUUAGAUAGUCGGCGGGGUAACGGCCCACCGAGUCGACGAUCAGUAGGGGUUCUGAGAGGAAGGUCCCCCACAUUGGAACUGAGACACGGUCCAAACUCCUACGGGAGGCAGCAGUGAGGAAUAUUGGUCAAUGGGCGAGAGCCUGAACCAGCCAAGUAGCCGUGCAGGAUGACGGCCCUAUGGGUUGUAAACUGCUUUUAUACAGGGAUAAAGUGACGUACGUGUACGUUUUUGUAGGUACUGUAUGAAUAAGGACCGGCUAAUUCCGUGCCAGCCGCGGC